UUUAGUGGCGGACGGGUGAGUAACGCGUGGAUAACCUGCCGUAUACCGGGGAUAACACUUAGAAAUAGGUGCUAAUACCGCAUAAGCGCACGGCUCCGCAUGGGGCAGUGUGAAAAACUCCGGUGGUAUACGAUGGAUCCGCGUCUGAUUAGCUAGUUGGCGGGGUAACGGCCCACCAAGGCAGCGAUCAGUAGCCGGCCUGAGAGGGUGGACGGCCACAUUGGGACUGAGACACGGCCCAAACUCCUACGGGAGGCAGCAG
rnacentral:rRNA from 1 species